rnacentral:rRNA from 1 species
CGCGGCCUAUCAGCUUGUUGGUGGGGUAGUGGCCCACCAAGGCGACGACGGGUAGCCGGCCUGAGAGGGCGACCGGCCACACUGGGACUGAGACACGGCCCAGACUCCUACGGGAGGCAGCAGUGGGGAAUAUUGCACAAUGGGCGCAAGCCUGAUGCAGCGACGCCGCGUGAGGGAUGAAGGCCUUCGGGUUGUAAACCUCUUUCAGCAGGGAAGAAGCGCAAGUGACGGUACCUGCAGAAGAAGCGCCGGCUAACUACGUGCCAGCAGCCGCGGUAAUACGUAGGGCGCAAGCGUUGUCCGGAAUUAUUGGGCGUAAAGAGCUCGUAGGCGGUUUGUCGCGUCUGCUGUGAAAACUCGAGGCUCAACCUCGGGCUUGCAGUGGGUACGGGCAGACUAGAGUGCGGUAGGGGUGACUGGAAUUCCUGGUGUAGCGGUGGAAUGCGCAGAUAUCAGGAGGAACACCGAUGGCGAAGGCAGGUCACUGGGCCGCAACUGACGCUGAGGAGCGAAAGCAUGGGGAGCGAACAGGAUUAGAUACCCUGGUAGUCCAUGCCGUAAACGUUGGGCACUGGGUGUGGGGCUCAUUCCACGAGUUCCGUGCCGCAGCAAACGCAUUAAGUGCCCCGCC